rnacentral:rRNA from 1 species
UACAGAGGUCCCAAGCGUUGUUCGGAUUCACUGGGCGGAAAGGGUGCGUAGGCGGUCGGGUAAGUCUGACGUGAAAUCUCCAAGCUCAACUUGGAAAUGGCGUCGGAUACUAUUCGGCUCGAGGAGUGGAGGGGAGACUGGAAUUCUCGGUGUAGCAGUGAAAUGCGUAGAUAUCGAGAGGAACACCAGUGGCGAAGGCGAGUCUCUGGACACUUCCUGACGCUGAGGCACGAAAGCCAGGGGAGCAAACGGG